CACAACCAAGACUCAGAGAAAAAUGAAGCCAGGACAGAAUCUAUCCACAUUGAAUCUGAUGAUAAUGGAAUGGAUACCACUCAGAGUACUGCAUCUGCACCACAAUCCAAGGCCUCUAUGAAUACCUAGGAACGUACAGUUCUUCAACUGAUUGAUAAAAUCACAAAUUUCGUUAUCGACGAUGAUGAGGAAGAGGUGC
rnacentral:lncRNA from 1 species